GUCAAACUCCCUUUCAUCUUUCUGGAAAAAGAAUCCACACUCUUUCAGGGAAACUGGAGGAACAGGCAUGUGCUUGUGCCUGCUCACUUGUACGUGCGCCACAUGUGUGCAGGUGCCCACGGAGGCCAGAAGAGGGCGUCUCCUAGUUAGGAUGUCAGAUCCCCUGGGGUUAAAGUUACAACGUGAGCCACAAUAUAGGUGUUGGGAAUUGAAUCCCCGCUCCUCUGGAAGAGCAGCCAGUGCUUUUAACUGAUGAGCCAUCUCUCCAGUCCCAGGAAAAUGACAUU